rnacentral:rRNA from 1 species
CAAUUUAAACAACGAAGAGUUUGAUCCUGGCUCAGGAUGAACGCUAGCGACAGGCUUAACACAUGCAAGUCGAGGGGCAGCGGGGUGUAGCAAUACACCGCCGGCGACCGGCGCACGGGUGAGUAACGCGUAUGCAACUUGCCUAUCAGAGGGGGAUAACCCGGCGAAAGUCGGACUAAUACCGCAUGAAGCAGGGAUCCCGCAUGGGAAUAUUUGCUAAAGAUUCAUCGCUGAUAGAUAGGCAUGCGUUCCAUUAGGCAGUUGGCGGGGUAACGGCCCACCAAACCGACGAUGGAUAGGGGUUCUGAGAGGAAGGUCCCCCACAUUGGUACUGAGACACGGACCAAACUCCUACGGGAGGCAGCAGUGAGGAAUAUUGGUCAAUGGGCGUAAGCCUGAACCAGCCAAGUCGCGUGAGGGAUGAAGGUUCUAUGGAUCGUAAACCUCUUUUAUAAGGGAAUAAAGUGCGGGACGUGUCCCGUUUUGUAUGUACCUUAUGAAUAAGGAUCGGCUAACUCCGUGCCAGCAGCCGCGGUAAUACGGAGGAUCCGAGCGUUAUCCGGAUUUAUUGGGUUUAAAGGGUGCGUAGGCGGCCUUUUAAGUCAGCGGUGAAAGUCUGUGGCUCAACCAUAGAAUUGCCGUUGAAACUGGGGGGCUUGAGUAUGUUUGAGGCAGGCGGAAUGCGUGGUGUAGCGGUGAAAUGCAUAGAUAUCACGCAGAACCCCGAUUGCGAAGGCAGCCUGCCAAGCCAUUACUGACGCUGAUGCACGAAAGCGUGGGGAUCAAACAGGAUUAGAUACCCUGGUAGUCCACGCAGUAAACGAUGAUCACUAGCUGUUUGCGAUACACUGUAAGCGGCACAGCGAAAGCGUUAAGUGAUCCACCUGGGGAGUACGCCGGCAACGGUGAAACUCAAAGGAAUUGACGGGGGCCCGCACAAGCGGAGGAACAUGUGGUUUAAUUCGAUGAUACGCGAGGAACCUUACCCGGGUUUGAACGCAUUCGGACCGAGGUGGAAACACCUUUUCUAGCAAUAGCCGUUUGCGAGGUGCUGCAUGGUUGUCGUCAGCUCGUGCCGUGAGGUGUCGGCUUAAGUGCCAUAACGAGCGCAACCCUUGCCACUAGUUACUAACAGGUUAGGCUGAGGACUCUGGUGGGACUGCCAGCGUAAGCUGCGAGGAAGGCGGGGAUGACGUCAAAUCAGCACGGCCCUUACAUCCGGGGCGACACACGUGUUACAAUGGCGUGGACAAAGGGAGGCCACCUGGCGACAGGGAGCGAAUCCCCAAACCACGUCUCAGUUCGGAUCGGAGUCUGCAACCCGACUCCGUGAAGCUGGAUUCGCUAGUAAUCGCGCAUCAGCCAUGGCGCGGUGAAUACGUUCCCGGGCCUUGUACACACCGCCCGUCAAGCCAUGGGAGCCGGGGGUACCUGAAGUCCGUAACCGCGAGGAUCGGCCUAGGGUAAAACUGGUGACUGGGGCUAAGUCGUAACAAGGUAGCCGUACCGGAAGGUGCGGCUGGAACACCUCCUUUCU